CAAAGCUCCUGACUGAAGCCCCAGUAAACGGCGGCCGUAACUAUAACGGUCCUAAGGUAGCGAAAUUCCUUGUCGGGUAAGUUCCGACCUGCACGAAUGGUCUAAUGAGUUGUACACUGUCUCCUCCGCGAGCCCGGUGAAAUUGUAGUAUCGGUGAAGAUGCCGGUUACCCGCCACGGGACGGAAAGACCCCGUGAACCUUCACUACAACUUUGCAUUGAUUUUGAACAACCGAUGUGUAGGAUAGUUGGGAGACUUUGAAGUAGCGUCGCCAGGCGUUAUGGAGUCAUCGUUGAAAUACCAACCUUCGUUUGUUUAGAACCUAAUCCCUAACGGGAGACAGUGCAUGGUGGGUAGUUUGACUGGGGUGGUCGCCUCCUAAAAAGUAACGGAGGCUCGCAAAGGUACCCUCAGUACGGUUGGUAAUCGUACGUAGAGCGCAUUAGUAUAAGGGUGCUUGACUGUGAGACAAACAAGUCGAGCAGGAGCGAAAGCUGGCUAAAGUGAUCCGGUGAUUCUGCAUGGAAGGGUCAUCGCUCAAAGGAUAAAAGGUACUCCGGGGAUAACAGGCUGAUCUUACCCAAGAGCUCAUAUCGACGGUAAGGUUUGGCACCUCGAUGUCGGUUCGUCACAUCCUGGGGCUGGAGAAGGUCCCAAGGGUUCGGCUGUUCGCCGAUUAAAGUGGCACGUGAACUGGGUUCAGAACGUCGCAAGACAGUUCGGUCCCUAUCUGUGGUGGGCGUUAGUAAAUUGAGUGGACAUGUUCUUAGUACGAGAGGACCGGAAUGUACGUACCGCUGGUGUAUCUGUUAUGCCGCUAGGUGUAAUGCAGAGUAGCUAUGUACGGCCAGGAUAAACGCUGAAAGCAUCUAAGCGUGAAACCUUCCACAAGAUGAGUUUACUUUUAAGGGUCGUCAGAGACUAUGACGUUGAUAGGCUAUAGAUGUAAAGCUAGUAAUAGCAAAGUCGAGUAGUACUAAUUGCCCGUAAGCUUUAUUUUU
rnacentral:rRNA from 1 species